AAUUAUUCAAUACACUCGUUCAUUACGUUCCAAGUUCUCAAAAGAGAAGCAUCGUCAUCAUGAACCCGCAAUGUCCGCGGAAGACCACGCCAUCAUGGCAUGCCGGCAUUUUCGCUUCGAUACUCACGUGGCUGAGACCAGGAUUCGAGACUUGAUUUAUUUUCAAUUCAAAAUGAUAUUUAUCCAUUAAAAAAAUAUGUAGGGUCAGCAAACACUGGUACCAAUUCAAACUGGAGAUUGAAUAAAUCGAACAAUAUUGGAGACCAAAAACUCAUUCAGAAAAAGAUGAUUCCAAUUGAUCCAAAUGAGAGAAUACCCUCAAGUUUGUGGAGCGUCAAUUAAACAGUCAACUGCUAAUGAUUAUAGAAUUCCAAUUUACUUCAAAAACUGAUUCAAGUCAAUUUAAUAAACUUCUGUACAUCAGCAAAUAUUUAUUCAUUAAAAAAAUAUGUGGGGUCAGCAGAUAUUGGCAUCAAUACAAACUGGAGAUUCAAUAAAUCGUAAAAAAAUUGGAAACCGAAAACUUAUUCGAAGAACGAUGAUUCCAAUGGACACAAAUAAAAGAAUACUGUCAAAUUUGUGGGAAUUCGAUUCUACAGUCAACUGCUAAUAAUAUCAGAUUACUCGAGAUUUCAAAAUAUUUUCAAACGGAAGAAUUUACUACUGGGUAUUUUAUAUGCCGACAAAAUAGGUCAUGCUAUAAUUAAUAAACUGAUUUGGUAAAUAAAUCUAAAAAAUACAUCUGAAAAAAAAAAAAAA